rnacentral:tRNA from 8 species
GGAGGAGUACCCAAGUGGCCAAAGGGGGCAGACUGUAAAUCUGUUGUCUUCGACUUCGAUGGUUCGAAUCCAUCCUCCUCCACCA